UGGCUCUGAAGAAACAGUCACAUGUCUUACAUAAAGUUUUGUUUUCCAGAGGCUCCGAAAGCCAC
rnacentral:snoRNA from 1 species